UACGGGGGGGGCAAGCGUUGUUCGGAAUUACUGGGCGUAAAGGGCGCGUAGGCGGGUGGACAAGUCUCACGUGAAAGCCCACGGCUCAACCGUGGAACUGCGGGAGAUACUGUCUGUCUUGAGUCCGGGAGAGGAGGGUGGAAUUCCCAGUCCAGCGGUGAAAUGCGUAGAUAUUGGGAGGAACACCGGUGGCGAAGGCGGCUCUCUGGACCGGUACUGACGCUGAGGCGCGAAAGCUAGGGGAGCAAACGGG
rnacentral:rRNA from 1 species